AUUGAACGCUGGCGGCAGGCCUAACACAUGCAAGUCGAGCGGAUGAAGGGAGCUUGCUCCUGGAUUCAGCGGCGGACGGGUGAGUAAUGCCUAGGAAUCUGCCUGGUAGUGGGGGAUAACGUCCGGAAACGGGCGCUAAUACCGCAUACGUCCUGAGGGAGAAAGUGGGGGAUCUUCGGACCUCACGCUAUCAGAUGAGCCUAGGUCGGAUUAGCUAGUUGGUGGGGUAAAGGCCUACCAAGGCGACGAUCCGUAACUGGUCUGAGAGGAUGAUCAGUCACACUGGAACUGAGACACGGUCCAGACUCCUACGGGAGGCAGCAGUGGGGAAUAUUGGACAAUGGGCGAAAGCCUGAUCCAGCCAUGCCGCGUGUGUGAAGAAGGUCUUCGGAUUGUAAAGCACUUUAAGUUGGGAGGAAGGGCAGUAAGUUAAUACCUUGCUGUUUUGACGUUACCAACAGAAUAAGCACCGGCUAACGUCG
rnacentral:rRNA from 1 species